rnacentral:rRNA from 1 species
AUGCUGGAGGUAUCAGAAGUGCGAAUGCUGACAUAAGUAACGAUAAAGCGGGUGAAAAGCCCGCUCGCCGGAAGACCAAGGGUUCCUGUCCAACGUUAAUCGGGGCAGGGUGAGUCGACCCCUAAGGCGAGGCCGAAAGGCGUAGUCGAUGGGAAACAGGUUAAUAUUCCUGUACUUGGUGUUACUGCGAAGGGGGGACGGAGAAGGCUAUGUUGGCCGGGCGACGGUUGUCCCGGUUUAAGCGUGUAGGCUGGUUUUCCAGGCAAAUCCGGAAAAUCAAGGCUGAGGCGUGAUGACGAGGCACUACGGUGCUGAAGCAACAAAUGCCCUGCUUCCAGGAAAAGCCUCUAAGCAUCAGGUAACAUCAAAUCGUACCCCAAACCGACACAGGUGGUCAGGUAGAGAAUACCAAGGCGCUUGAGAGAACUCGGGUGAAGGAACUAGGCAAAAUGGUGCCGUAACUUCGGGAGAAGGCACGCUGAUAUGUAGGUGAAGCGACUUGCUCGUGGAGCUGAAAUCAGUCGAAGAUACCAGCUGGCUGCAACUGUUUAUUAAAAACACAGCACUGUGCAAACACGAAAGUGGACGUAUACGGUGUGACGCCUGCCCGGUGCCGGAAGGUUAAUUGAUGGGGUUAGCGCAAGCGAAGCUCUUGAUCGAAGCCCCGGUAAACGGCGGCCGUAACUAUAACGGUCCUAAGGUAGCGAAAUUCCUUGUCGGGUAAGUUCCGACCUGCACGAAUGGCGUAAUGAUGGCCAGGCUGUCUCCACCCGAGACUCAGUGAAAUUGAACUCGCUGUGAAGAUGCAGUGUACCCGCGGCAAGACGGAAAGACCCCGUGAACCUUUACUAUAGCUUGACACUGAACAUUGAGCCUUGAUGUGUAGGAUAGGUGGGAGGCUUUGAAGUGUGGACGCCAGUCUGCAUGGAGCCGACCUUGAAAUACCACCCUUUAAUGUUUGAUGUUCUAACGUGGACCCGUAAUCCGGGUUGCGGACAGUGUCUGGUGGGUAGUUUGACUGGGGCGGUCUCCUCCUAAAGAGUAACGGAGGAGCACGAAGGUUGGCUAAUCCUGGUCGGACAUCAGGAGGUUAGUGCAAUGGCAUAAGCCAGCUUGACUGCGAGCGUGACGGCGCGAGCAGGUGCGAAAGCAGGUCAUAGUGAUCCGGUGGUUCUGAAUGGAAGGGCCAUCGCUCAACGGAUAAAAGGUACUCCGGGGAUAACAGGCUGAUACCGCCCAAGAGUUCAUAUCGACGGCGGUGUUUGGCACCUCGAUGUCGGCUCAUCACAUCCUGGGGCUGAAGUAGGUCCCAAGGGUAUGGCUGUUCGCCAUUUAAAGUGGUACGCGAGCUGGGUUUAGAACGUCGUGAGACAGUUCGGUCCCUAUCUGCCGUGGGCGCUGGAGAACUGAGGGGGGCUGCUCCUAGUACGAGAGGACCGGAGUGGACGCAUCACUGGUGUUCGGGUUGUCAUGCCAAUGGCACUGCCCGGUAGCUAAAUGCGGAAGAGAUAAGUGCUGAAAGCAUCUAAGCACGAAACUUGCCCCGAGAUGAGUUCUCCCUGACCCUUUGAGAGUCCUGAAGGAACGUUGAAGACGACGACGUUGAUAGGCCGGGUGUGUAAGCGCAGCGAUGCGUUGAGCUAACCGGUACUAAUGAACCGUGAGGCUUAACCUU